rnacentral:rRNA from 1 species
ACGGGAGGCAGCAGUGGGGAAUAUUGGGCAAUGGGCGAAAGCCUGACCCAGCAACGCCGCGUGAAGGAAGAAGGCCUUCGGGUUGUAAACUUCUUUUAUCAGGGACGAAGAAUGUGACGGUACCUGAUGAAUAAGCCACGGCUAACUACGUGCCAGCAGCCGCGGUAAUACGUAGGUGGCAAGCGUUAUCCGGAUUUACUGGGUGUAAAGGGCGCGUAGGCGGGGAUGCAAGUCAGGUGUGAAAUCUAUGGGCUUAACCCAUAAACUGCAUUUGAAACUGUAUCUCUUGAGUGUCGGAGAGGUAGAUGGAAUUCCUAGUGUAGCGGUGAAAUGCGUAGAUAUUAGGAGGAACAUCGGUGGCGAAGGCGGCUUACUGGGCCUUUACUGACGCUGAGGCACGAAAGCGUGGGGAGCAAACAGGAUUAGAUACCCUGGUA